UGCCAGACUCCUACGGGAGGCAGCAGUGGGGGAUAUUGCACAAUGGGGGAAACCCUGAUGCAGCGACGCCGCGUGGGUGAAGAAGCGCCUCGGCGCGUAAAGCCCUGUCAGCAGGGAAGAAAAUGACGGUACCCAAAGAGGAAGCUCCGGCUAACUACGUGCCAGCAGCCGCGGCAAUACGUAGGGAGCGAGCGUUGUCCGGAAUUACUGGGUGUAAAGGGAGCGUAGGCGGGGAUGCAAGUUGGAUGUUUAAACUAUCGGCUCAACCGGUAAUUGCAACCAAAACUGCAACUCUUGAGUGAAGUAGAGGCAGGCAGAAUUCCUAGUGUAGCGGUGAAAUGCGUAGAUAUUAGGAGGAACACCAGUGGCGAAGGCGGCCUGCUGGGCUUUAACUGAGGCUGAGGCUCGAAAGCGUGGGGAGCAAACAGGAUUAGAUACCCUGGUAA
rnacentral:rRNA from 1 species